rnacentral:rRNA from 1 species
UGGGGAAUAUUGGACAAUGGGCGCAAGCCUGAUGACGCAACGCCGCGUGGGGGAUGAAGGUCUUCGGAUCGUAAACCCCUGUCGAAUGGGACGAAAGACUCGCGAGUGAAUACUUCGCGAGAGUGACGGUACCGUUAAAGGAAGCCACGGCUAACUCUGUGCCAGCAGCCGCGGUAAUACAGAGGUGGCAAGCGUUGUUCGGAAUUACUGGGCGUAAAGGGCGCGUAGGCGGCCCUCUAAGUCAGACGUGAAAUCCCCCGGCUUAACCUGGGAACUGCGUCUGAUACUGGAGGGCUUGAGUAUGGGAGAGGGAUGUAGAAUUCCAGGUGUAGCGGUGAAAUGCGUAGAUAUCUGGAGGAAUACCGGUGGCGAAG